GACGAACGCUGGCGGCGGGCUUAACACAUGCAAGUCGAACGGAAAGGCCCUGCUUUUGUGGGGUGCUCGAGUGGCGAACGGGUGAGGAACACGUGUGUAACCUGCCCUAGACUUUCGGAUAACUUCAGGUAACUGGGGCUACUACCAGAUAGGAGCUCCUGCUGCAGGGUGGGGGUGGGAAAGUUUCGGCGGUCGGGGAUGGACGGGCGGCUGAUCGACUUGCUGGUGGGGGAGUUGUUUACCAAGGCUUUGACGGAUACCCGGCCUGUGAGCGUGAACGGCGACAUUGGGACUGCGAUAGGGACCAGACGCCAACGGGAGGCAGUGGUCGCGAAUCUUGCCCAAUGGGCGCAAGCCUGAGGAAGCAACGCCGCGUUCGGGAUGACGGCCUUCGGGUUGUAAACCGCUUUAGCCUGAGACGAAGCGGGAGUGACGGUACUGAGUAAAGAAGCACCGGCUAACUACGUG
rnacentral:rRNA from 1 species